AAGAUGAAAGGAGAGACCCAAUCUUGCUAUGCUGCCCAGGCUAGUCUUGAACCCCUGACCUCAAGCAAUCCUCCUGUCUCAGCCUCCCAAGUCUCUGGGAUUACAGACACUUCCAAUAAGAAGACUGAGCCACCAGGCAGAUGUUAUAAGCAAUGUGAGCUUGUGCUGGAAGAAGAGAGAAUCCACCAGUGUCCUGGGCCCUCCAAGGCCUCUCUGAGGGAAAGACAUUUGGACAGAGAUGCCAAGGACAAGGAAGAGGCAGUCACCCACCUCUGGGCAAGGUGCAAAAGCCCAAGAUUCACGUUCAUGUGUUGCAAGCACAAAAAGAAGAUCCUGUGGCUGGAGUAGAGUGAGGAACAGUGAGAAUGGUAGGAGCAGAGGGCAGAGAAAGUGGCAAAAACAAGGUCGCAUGAGGCCUUGUAAGCCAUGGUCAAGAGGUGAUAUUUUAUUUUAAAUGAAUCCAAAGUAAUUGCAAGUUUUUGAGCAAGUAAGCAAAAUGCUCCUUUGCAAAAAACAAA
rnacentral:lncRNA from 1 species